UACGAGUGCCUCAAGCGUUAUCCGGAAUCAUUGGGCGUAAAGGAUGUGUAGGUGGUUGUGUUAGUCUUCUGUUAAAUUCUUCGGCUUAACCGGGGGCAUGCAGGGGAAACGGCACGACUAGAGGAUGCGAGGGGUCUGCGGAACUCAUAGUGUAGCGGUGAAAUGCGUUGAUAUUAUGGGGAACACCAAAAGCGAAGGCAGCAGACUGGAGCACUCCUGACACUGAAACAUGAAAAGCGUGGGUCGCGAAUGGG
rnacentral:rRNA from 1 species